UACGAAGGGAGCUAGCGUUGUUCGGAAUCACUGGGCGUAAAGCGCACGUAGGCGGACGUGUCAGUCAGGGGUGAAAUCCCGGAGCUCAACUUCGGAACUGCCUUUGAUACAGCACGUCUUGAGUCCGGAAGAGGUGGGUGGAAUUCCUAGUGUAGAGGUGAAAUUCGUAGAUAUUAGGAAGAACACCGGUGGCGAAGGCGGUUCUCUGGGCCUGUACUGACGCUGAGGAGCGAAAGCGUGGGGAGCGAACAGG
rnacentral:rRNA from 1 species